rnacentral:rRNA from 1 species
AGUGAACGCUGGCGGUAGGCCUAACACAUGCGAGUCGAACGGCAGCACAGUAAGAGCUUGCUCUUACGGGUGGCGAGUGGCGGACGGGUGAGGAAUACAUCGGAAUCUACUUUUUCGUGGGGGAUAACGUAGGGAAACUUACGCUAAUACCGCAUACGACCUACGGGUGAAAGCAGGGGAUCUUCGGACCUUGCGCGAUUGAAUGAGCCGAUGUCGGAUUAGCUAGUUGGCGGGGUAAAGGCCCACCAAGGCGACGAUCCGUAGCUGGUCUGAGAGGAUGAUCAGCCACACUGGAACUGACACACGGUCCAGACUCCUACGGGAGGCAGCAGUGGGGAAUAUUGGACAAUGGGCGCAAGCCUGAUCCAGCCAUACCGCGUGGGUGAAGAAGGCCUUCGGGUUGUAAAGCCCUUUUGUUGGGAAAGAAAAGCAGCAGGUUAAUACCCCGCUGUUCUGACGGUACCCAAAGAAUAAGCACCGGCUAACUUCGUG